UUUAAGUCAAAGUUUCCGUAUCGAAUUUUGAUCCUCCGUUUUAUUUGAUAUUUUUAUGAUUAAUUUUUUAUUAUUAUUAGAUGAUAGAACAUGAAAAAUACUUUAUGUAUAACUUAUGUUUUUAAUUUUUUCUUAAAAAAGUUUAAAUAAAACAAACAAUCAAAAUUUAACACGGAAACUUAUACUUGUGCUUAAA
rfam:Oryza barthii chromosome 2, whole genome shotgun sequence.